rnacentral:rRNA from 1 species
AAUCAACGCUGGCGGCGUGCCUCAGACAUGCAAGUCGAACGAUUAAAGCUCUCUUCGGAGAGUGCAUAGAGUGGCGCACGGGUGAGUAACACGUAAGUAAUCUACCCUCGAGUGGGGAAUAACGUCCGGAAACGGACGCUAAUACCGCAUAAUGCAGCGGCACCGCAAGGUGACAGUUGUUAAAGAUUUAUCGCUUGAGGAGGAGCUUGCGGCAGAUUAGCUAGUUGGUAAGGUAAUGGCUUACCAAGGCUACGAUCUGUAACCGGUCUUAGAGGACGGUCGGUCACACUGACACUGAAUAACGGGUCAGACUCCUACGGGAGGCAGCAGUCGGGAAUUUUGGGCAAUGGGCGAAAGCCUGACCCAGCAACGCCGCGUGAAGGAUGAAGUAUUUCGGUAUGUAAACUUCGAAAGAAUAGGAAGAAUAAAUGACGGUACUAUUUAUAAGGUCCGGCUAACUACGUGCCAGCAGCCGCGGUAAGGUGACGCUCU